rnacentral:tRNA from 1 species
GUGGGUGUAGCUCAAUUGGUAGAGCAUUGGACUGUGGUUCCAAUGGUUGGGGGUUCAAGUCCCCUCACUCACCC